rnacentral:lncRNA from 1 species
CAUCCCAAGUGCGCCCUCUGCCCCAGGCUCGGCCAUGAGCCCCAGGCCCCUUGGACGUGAAGAGAGUGACUGGGGACAAAGAGACGCCCUCUUGGGCUCCCCAGUCCGUGCACCCUUCCUCCCCACCUGGGAACUCUAAGCCCUGGGCGGAGGCAUACCACACAUGGCCGCCUCCCUGACCCACUGAGCUUCCUGUAAGGUUUGGGGCGUUCGCUGAACUGUUACCUUGUGUCAACUUUUUUAUUUGUAUAUGGCAUCUCUGAAACUCAGCUAUACCCCUCACGGCUCAUCUCUGGGCUCAAGAUGAAAAAUAACACCUCCUGAAUGAAUGAAUAAACCCGUCAUGGUCACUCCCCUGGUCCACAAGGAGGAGCUGGGCCCUUAGGGGAUGUUUCCAUGGACUGAUCAACACUGGGGAAGCUUUUCAGAAAGCUGCAGUCAAGAGUUCUGGCCGUUCUAAAGAUGCCCCUGGGUCACUUACCUGUCUUUGGACAAGAAGAGACUCCAGCAGUGAUUUCAAGGCAAGGAAAUAUGGAAAGGGAGCAACGUUGAAAAUGUGAGUAGUAGGAAAGAAUCAUUCCUCCCUACUCCCUAGCUUCCUAAGUUUUCCUUUAAAAUCCCGCCCCCCCCCCCAACCCUCCCACUGGCAUCCGUUUGGCUUUGCAGACUGAUUCAGGUUCUAGGACUGGGCAUGAAUUGGAGGAGGCUACAAUGAAAGAAGAAGACUUGAUCCCGGUGAUGUCAUUCGAGAGGGGGUGACAAAAGCCACUUGGCAGGGUCUUCACUAGAAUAGGUCAGACAACAGGUUCUGAACUGAAAUAUGUUGAUAUAGUCUAUGAGCAUGCUUAUUCUGAAUUAACACCAACCCCCAACAAAACAUAUAGACAGAAUCCUAAAAUGGACCCCUGUGGGUAGCAGCCUGUGCCGUUAAUGAAGCUGCUGUAGGGGUGGUCCUAUGCCU